AAGAAGAAGAACAAAGAUCAA
rnacentral:sRNA from 1 species